UUGCGUGGCUGGCGUGCCAAUUACCGUAUAGACGAGAGUGUACGGUUGUCCUUUCCACGAAGACGUCGCGUCUCGUCGCGUCAUAAUUCUCGUAGAAGAGACUUGAUUAUCGAGGAAGAGCGGUCGGUGUCGCGCGAUUUUGUCUGGUCGCCAAAUCCAGCGAGUAAGUAGGCAUCACAGUCUUUCGCAACGAAGCAAUACGUUUUUGGUCGGUGAUGCAAUUUCAUUGCUAAUUACGUCACUUUUCAUGUAUAUGUAUUUUUGAAAAUACCUGGACGAGUAAAGACCGGUAGUUCAGACGGCCCACGAGUGUUUUACGAUCGAUUUUAUUGAAUGGCAUAGAUCAACGAACGAGAGACCUUGCAUUCUUUGUGAAGUUCAAAAUCGUCAAUAAAUGGCCGACCGUAAUUCGAUGAAGAGGAAGAGGAAUUGCUUAAAAUGUGAAACUUAGAAGGUGGCUGGCUGGCUGGCUGGUUGCCUCCGGGAUCUUGGAGCAGCGUAUUUUCAAGCAAACAUUGCGACAGAGUGGAGCCAUUCGACUUUACAAACUUUGCAUUUACAUAAAACCAAAGUAAAGCUGGCCGACUGUAUUAAGUUCAAGAUCACCAGGAAUCCUCGAGGCACCGAAUCCCUACGCGCUGCGUCACGAUCAAGAAUAUCGUUAACAUCUCUUCCACGAGUGUCCUUAGAGUUAAACGAUAUUCAAAUUCAAAACAGACCGCGGCGGUCGUUGUGGCUAUACAUAUAUACAAACGAGCACGUUUCUUUGAACUCUCCUGUAACCUUCUUUCAUGAUGGGUAGUUUUUACCGAUCGAAGAAUCAUCGGCUAUUGGUCAACAAUUUUAAGUUUCUAGUCAAAAUGAUUCGAAGCGCGUCGACAUUAUUUAUCGUCUAAGUUUCAAGGCUAUAUAUCUAUAAACUGGAAAAUGACCGAUCAAUGAAUAUUUUUACAAAGUGCUCAUUGUCGCAACGUUCAUUUCUAAAUGUACGAGACAUCAAAUAUUGAUCGCUAGUGACAUCUAAACUCUUCUACGUUGUCUAGACAGAACGGUUUGGAUAUGCGACUGCGAAUUUCGGAGCAGUCUAUUUCUCUCCCUCACACACACGAUUGUUCACACGAAUGAACGAACGAACAGAAGGCACGAUAUACACCGAUGAAACCACCUGUACAAAUCGGUGAACGUGGAGCGGUAUCUCGUUGCGGUAGUGGGCAGUGAAUGGCUGUCGCACGCGGAGCAAUUGCUCGCUCGAAGAAGAAUUCAAGAGGAGUUCUCGCAUUUUCCACAUGGCACACGACCUAAUUCGUCCAUCUUACGUAAGCGACAACAUUGGAUCAUUCAUGCUCAGCUGAUCGCAAUACGCGCGCGCUGCUGCAAUUAAUGCGCGAGUACACCGGCACUUUUCUAUCUGUAGGAAUACGCACAGAGGGAUUUCUAAAUAUAAUUUCCACGGGUUAACGGUCGAUCCGUUUUAAGUUUAAGUCGGACGAUGUUUUACGACGGUGGUUUAUGAACGGUACGAAAAUUAUCCAACCGCUUCCGUCAGUGUCACUGCGUCAGAUGGUACAGUAGCUCGUAAAAGAAGCGGAUUUCACGGUGCAACAUUUGAGAAAAAGUACCGUAUUCGGUUCGAUUUUAUCGAUCGACCGAUAACAGAGGACCCGAUACACAAAGAAUUUAGCCUUGGCCUACUGUUUCACCGAGUUCGGGACACGAACCAACGAAUCACCGUCGCAAAAGUCAAGCGUGAGUGUUGAUAGUCCGUUGCACAACGGUAGAAACGUGCCCACGAUGUUCUUUCCCGGCUGGCGGCUUUAAUGGAGCGAUUCGUACCGUUUGUGAAUCGUGAUUAACACAAUUCGGUAUGCUCGACAUUAUGUCCUGUUUUUCAGCCAGCUGAUGGAUCGCGCCUCGAGGCCACUUGACCUACAUUAUUUUUCGCAACGAGGCUCACCUUUUUGUCAUAUCGUUCCUAUACUUCCCUGGAGAUUUGCUGCAACCAUUUAAACGAGAGCACGCGAGAAACGAGAAGACAAGAAGAAGUUACGUAAUGCUUUUCUAAGCUGAAAGAAGAACUAAAAUCUUAUAUUGGGUCGGUGGAAAUUUGUCCAAAGAAAAAGUUCGAAAAAUAAUUCUGUAGGGAGUUAACUGUACAGAAUUGUGUAGUGAAUACGCUCUGUUUCAUCGCAACAUAACGUAAUCAUACGUUGGAAAAUAAAGAUUCGAUUGGAUGAUUCUCCUUUGACCGUCUCGAUUACAUGGAAGUCGUCCGCGCAGGGGUAGGGAGUGGAAUUUCUCAUCGAGCGGGCUACCGAAGUCCAUGCCGCGGGAGAAAGUUUCGGCAUCGACAGAAAUUACGCACCGUUGAAAUAAUCGUUCGUCCGUGCAAAUACUUAGUCGUCCCCCGUCUAACGAACUUUGUUCAAGUGCAAUUACAAUCGUGAGACGUGAUUGAAUGUCUAGAUAUUCAUCGUCGAAAAAUUGAAUGGAAACCUCGAAUAUGGGUCUAUAGGGCGUUUUAGCGAAAAUUGAAUUAACAAUAUAGUUUUAUAACCUUUGUCAAUCGUUCUAGUAUACACAGGUUGUAGUUAUUUCGUUGGAAGGGAAUGACGUAAGAAGCACGUUAGGUGUUUGAAAUUUAUCGAACAGUGUAACUUAAAAACCGUUUUUUCCAAUAAUAUACUAAACGCGCUUUAGAGAUUUCCAUUCAAUCGCUCGACGAAAUACGACCGAGAUGAUUCCUCUACGAUGUUCGAAAUUUUACAAACGUUAUAUUCAAGCGAGAAUUCGGUUUGCUUAAAAGCUUGUGCUUUUCGAAGAAUUUUACGUAAUUAAAAGUAGAUAAACGAAGAAACGGUGAUCAAAGUAAGAAACGAUAGCCGCGAAAUGUCGACUCGACUCGUUUAAUUCCGCCUUUCUAGUUGCCUAAUUCUCGAUCAAACGAAGGAUUCCCGUGGAUUUACUUUGUUUCUGUGGUGAACGGAGCGUAACGGUCCAAGGGGAAAGACAGAGAAAGACAGAGAAAGAGAAGAAAAACGAAGAAUUUUACGCACUCUUCGAUUCCGUGGUCCGAGGAAUAUGUCGAAGGUCUCGUUGUGGAGAAAUAUCUGCAGAUACACGAGGAGAAUAUUGAAAGAAUCGACACCAACGAUCGACCUAGCACGCGCACGAUAGAUCGCGCGUGAUUCACUGGUGGAACUUUAUCGUAUAAAAUUAUAAUACUUCUUAAAAUUAUAUUUUACAAAAAUCCAAAGAAUUCUUUUAUUUGUACUCAGAGCCACGUUUCGGAUUAUACAGUAUAUAUAUAACACUUUCUCGCGUGUUUCAUAUCGUUUCAACGAGUGGUUGAUGCAAUGCAAAAGAGUCCCGUCUUGACGUUAUGUGUAAUUAGUAUAAUUGAAUGUGUUGAACGUUCGUUUCUACGGAGACCAUCAGUCGCGGCUCCAAUAGAUCGUGAUUUCCGUGGAAUUCCAUAAAGAUUUACAUACGUAGAACAUAGAAAUCAUGCGUAAACCCACCGUCAUCGUACACUUUCUUUCCCCAGCGGAAAAGUUCCGUCGAAAUUCUAUUCACCUUGCUCCUUGGUUUUUCCAUUGUUCCGAUAAUGAUAUCGGCUUUUACUUGUAUACGACACUCGGAAGUGAAAAUCAAAGUUAAACCGGUUGCAAGGAUGCCAGACAAGAGAGAGGGGGGGGAGAGAGAGAGGGAGAGAGAGAGAGAGAGAGAGAGAGAGAGAGUCAGACAAACAGACAGACAGACAGACAAAGAGAGAGAUCCGACUGACCCUCACAAACUUCCAUUUCCAUGUUCAUUAACGUCAGCCUUAUUUCCAUCGUCGUUGAACGAAUCAGUUGACGCUGCUCUCGCAGACCUCGAUACGACGAAUUAGAGAGAUUUCGUUCAAAACCUCCCUGUGGAAGUUAACGCGAGUCGAGAACUCACGUCAAGUGACUUCCACUCGCGUGUAAACAAAAUUACGCAAAUCGAUCUAGGAUAAAUGUGCCUAUCGGAUUUCGUGACGCUUUCGUUUUUAUAAAUGUCGAAACGUCCUCUAUUGUCACGAAAUUGGUCAAUACCAUUCUACUCCUUAUCGACUUUCCCUCCUUCGAUUUUCCUAGCGAUUUACAACACAUACGUGCACGAGGCAACAUCGCGGGCAAGUUUCUCGCAACAAUCUCGCCGGUUUCAGCGAAUACAUGAUUUAUUUCGUAAUGAAUGCACGCGUGACUUUUUGGAAUAUCUCUGUUGGAUGUACCACGCUGAUUUUGUAUUCUUUAGAUCGUUAAUGUUACCGGACCUGUCCUUGUUCGACUGGAAAACGAUACUUAUUUGUUACGUGGUUAAAACUAUUGCUAUGAAGCAGGAUGACUAUAAUAGACAAUAGUUAACUUCGAUAAUUGAGAGAGAACUUCGUUUUAUGAAACUGAUCGUACAGAUUAAUCUUACUGUGAAAUUGUUAUACCUGCUCAUAAUUUGGAUUUGCUAUAAAUUAAUUGGGAUUAAUUAAUGCUUGUAUUGUUUAACACUGUUCUUAAAUAAGAAAUCAACGAUGUACUUAUGCGAUGUGCUAAUUGAAGUUUCGUUAGAUAUCCGCAUACAAACGAGCGUAUCUGAUGAUCAUAAAAGAUAUUAUACCUUAAGGAGUUACUAAGGUCACGAAUCUCUGAUAUUCAGUAAUUAAAACAUUCAAUUGAGGUUCAUUUGAAAAUUUCCAUCUACUCGCUAUGUAUAUAGGGAUUCAAGGAGGUAUUUGAAUACCUACUAUAGGAAAUUUCUUUGUAUAUAUUAUGUGUGUUAUAAAAAACUAUAUACUUGCACUAGAGAUCUUUAGCAUCUAUGUAAGUCAAAAAUGUUUUGUCUAACAUGCAUAGUAUAUUAAUAAACAGUUUCUGUUAGUGUUCAAAUACUAUAUGAGCUACUGUAUAUUUUGUCUUCCUGUAUAUAAAAAUUUCCAAAGUAACACAGUGUUAACGUUAACUUUGUGAAAAGCAUAAUUCCGUUUAACUACCUUGUUACACUGUAUAACUAAACGUCACUGACAAUGAGUAUGUAUAUAUUUAUU